rnacentral:rRNA from 1 species
UACGUAGGGGGCAAGCGUUGUCCGGAUUUAUUGGGCGUAAAGCGCGUGUAGGCGGCCAGAUAGGUCUGCUGUGAAAACUCGAGGCUCAACCUCGAGCUGUCGGCGGAAACCAUCUGGCUAGAGUCCGGAAGAGGAGAGUGGAAUUCCUGGUGUAGCGGUGAAAUGCGCAGAUAUCGGGAAGAACACCCGUGGCGAAGGCGGUUCUCUGGGACGGUACUGACGCUGAGACGCGAAAGCGUGGGGAGCGAACAGG